rnacentral:rRNA from 1 species
UCAUUAAAAAAUAGCCCUAGGCUAUAUCCACCUUGUGUGCAAACAAUGGAAAGAGAAAAUGGAAUUCAGAACACUUUUUCUUCGGGGAAAAUGUUACCAAAUUCUCUAUAAUUUUUAUAAAUACCAUCAACAAUUAAUUUGAAAAAAAAAUUUUUUUUAAUAAAAAUUAUUAUACAACUUUCAACAACGGAUCUCUUGGCUCUCGCAUCGAUGAAGAACGCAGCGAAAUGCGAUACGUAAUGUGAAUUGCAGAAUUCAGUGAAUCAUCGAAUCUUUGAACGCAUAUUGCACUCUUUCGAGAGUACACCUGUUUCAGUAUCAUAAAACAACAUCCAAAUUUGGUUUGUUUAUUGUCAAUCAAUUUUUGGGAUUUGGGCUCUGCAGAAUUAAUUUUUUUAGUUUGGCUGGCCUUAAAUGAUUUAGCCAUAUCGUAAUUGUUUGGGUGAAAAGGCGUAAUAGUUGGUACCUUUGGAUCCAUCCCUUUCGCUGAAGCCUAUCUUUUAUGAAAUCUUGGCUCAAUAAUAUGGAAGAAUGAUAUAUAUAUAUGUAUAUCAUUAUUUAGAUCUGAAAUCAGGUGGGAUUACCCGCUGAACUUAAGCAUAUCAAUAAGCGGAGGAAAAGAAACUAACAAGGAUUCCCCUAGUAACGGCGAGUGAAGCGGGAAAAGCUCAAAUUUAAAAUCUGGCAGGUCCCCUGUCCGAGUUGUAAUUUGAAGAAGUGUUUUCGGUAUUCGUCUGGGUAUAAGUCCUUUGGAACAGGGCAUCAUAGAGGGUGAGAAUCCCGUUUAUGAUCCGGAAUUGGAUACUGUGUGAUACGCUCUCUAAGAGUCAGGUUGUUUGGGAAUGCAGCCUAAAAUGGGUGGUAAAUUUCAUCUAAAGCUAAAUAUUGGCGAGAGACCGAUAGCGAACAAGUACCGUGAGGGAAAGAUGAAAAGAACUUUGAAAAGAGAGUUAAACAGUACGUGAAAUUGUUGAAAGGGAAACGUUUGAAAUCAGUCAUGCGGGCGGGUAAUCAGCUUGGCCCUUGGGUCUUGUGCACUUUCCCGUGUCGCAGGUCAGCGUCGGUUUUGUUUGCCGGAUAAAUGCCAAGGGAAUGUAGCUUCACCCUUCCAGGAGGAGUGUUAUAGCCCUGGUAAAUACGGCGGUCGGGACCGAGGUCUGCAGUCGAUGCCUCUGGCUGGGGACUCCAUCGCUCAUUCUCACCCGCGCCUAGACAGCUUGCUGANCUAGGUGUGUGGUUUGGGGGUGANCANCGGUGGCCUACCA